UACAGAGGUCUCAAGCGUUGUUCGGAUUCAUUGGGCGUAAAGGGUGCGUAGGUGGCGGGGUAAGUCAGGUGUGAAAUCUCGAGGCUCAACCUCGAAACUGCACUUGAUACUGCCUUGCUCGAGUACUGGAGAGGAGAUUGGAAUUUACGGUGUAGCAGUGAAAUGCGUAGAUAUCGUAAGGAAGACCAGUGGCGAAGGCGAAUCUCUGGACAGUUACUGACACUGGGGCACGAAGGCCAGGGGAGCAAACGGG
rnacentral:rRNA from 1 species